rnacentral:rRNA from 1 species
GGGGGAGCGCCCCCCCCCGAGAGGGGGGUGUGUGCGCUAAGGGGGGGGGGGGGUUUGGGGGGGAGCCGCCAGCGGGGGGGCCCCCCGAGGGGGGGCCCCCUAGGUGGGGGACGGAGGCUUUUGGGGGAAAGGGGGGGAAAAAAAAGCCCCUAAAAAAAAAAUCUCUCUCUUUUUAAAACGCCCUUAUAAAAAUUAUAUAUUCUCCCCCCCCUCACGCCGUGCUAUACGAUGAGGCUCAGGAGCCUGGGAUGCUUAGAGGUGGCAACGACCCCCAGAGCGAAAACUGGUCAAACUCGGUCAUUUAGAGAGUAAAAGUCGUAACAGGGUUUCCGUAGGGAACCGCGGAGGGAUCAUUACCGAGUGAGGCCCUUGGGUCCAACCUCCCACCGGGUUUAUUUUACCUGUGCUUCGGCGGGCCCGCCUUUACUGGCCGCCGGGGGCUCACGCCCCCGGGCCCGCGCCCGCCGAAGACACCCCCGAACUCUGUCUGAAGAUGAAGUCUGAGUGAAAAUAUAAAUUAUUUAAAACUUUCAACAACGGAUCUCUUGGUUCCGGCAUCGAGGAAGAACGCAGGGAAAUGCGAUACGUAAUGUGAAUGGCAAAUUCAGGGAAUCAUCGAGUCUUUGAACGCACAUUGCGCCCCCUGGUAUUCCGGGGGGCAUGCCUGUCCGAGCGUCAUUGCUGCCCUCAAGCCCGGCUUGUGUGUUGGGCCCCGUCCUCCGAUUCCGGGGGACGGGCCCGAAAGGCAGCGGCGGCACCGCGUCCGGUCCUCGAGCGUAUGGGGCUUUGUCACCCGCUCUGUAGGCCCGGCCGGGCGCUGUGCGCGAUCAACCCAAAUUUAUCCGAGGGUGACCUCGGAUCAGGUAGAUACCGGUAA